rnacentral:lncRNA from 1 species
GUGUCUACUCUGCAGCAUAUUGAUUUGUCUUACAACAAUCUCAAUGGGCCUAUACCGAGUUGGCUUCAGAGGUUCCCUACGUCGUCUUAUCAAGGCGUUGGCGGAUUCUCUCUCGUGCAGCCACCUCCCGACUUGGCUCAUCACGAGCUUAAACCUCGUCAGAAACCUAAACCUCACUUCUUGGGACUAACCAAGACUGUUUUCUUGCUGAUAGUCAUCGCUGUCUCCAUUGUGCUACUAGCGGUUUUAGUCUUUGUGUUAGCUGUUUGUUACUUGAGGAUGAAACUAAGCCAAGGCGAUGGGAUUAUAACAGACGCCAAGCUGCAGAAGAAAGGUGGUAUGUCUCCUGAGAAGUUCGUGUCGAGGAUGGAAGAUGUGAACAACAGGUUGUCUUUCUUUGAAGGGUGUAACUACUCGUUUGAUCUCGAGGAUCUUCUGAGAGCUUCCGCUGAGGUUCUUGGUAAAGGCACGUUUGGGACGACGUACAAAGCGGUUCUUGAGGAUGCGACUUCUGUCGCUGUGAAACGUCUCAAGGACGUUGCGGCUGGGAAACGCGAUUUCGAGCAGCAGAUGGAGAUUAUUGGAGGGAUUAAGCACGAGAAUGUUGUGGAGCUUAAGGCUUAUUAUUACUCUAAAGAUGAGAAGCUUAUGGUUUAUGAUUACUUCGGUAAUGGGAGUGUGGCUUCUUUGCUUCACGGUACGUUUUCAAUUUAUGAUCUAACCGUGCGUCAUAACUACAGUGCAAUGGUUAGACCAGGGCUGUCUAAUAGUAUGUGCAAGUGAAACAGUUCAUACAGGGCAGGAGUUUUAAAAAAUAAAUAUAUAAAUUAUGUGCUAAAAUUUUAUUUUUGUUAAAUUUAUAGCUUAUAAUUUCAAAUUUUUUUUUUUUUUAAUUUUAGAAAUAUUGUUAAAUUUUAUAGUUUAUAGUUUCAAAAGAAACAUUAAACAUAUAGAAAGAGCUAUUAAUUUGUAAAACUAUUUUAUUAUAUUGUUGAUAAAACUGUUAAUAUUUUGGCCGGUAAAUAAUUGGAGACGGCACGGACUCACUUUCUACGUAGUGUUCUCAUGGACUUGCCGUUGGAUUGUGCAGGUAACAGAGGCGAAAACAGAGUUCCAUUGGACUGGGAGACAAGAAUGAGUAUUGCCAUUGGUGCAGCUAAAGGGAUAGCUCGUAUCCACCAAGAGAACAAUGGGAAGCUCGUCCAUGGCAACAUCAAAUCUUCAAACAUAUUCUUGAACUCAGAGCGUAAUGGCUGCGUGUCUGAUCUCGGUUUAACCGCGGUGAUGAGCGCCUUGGCUCCACCUAUCUCGAGGCAAGCUGGUUACCGUGCGCCAGAGGUAACCGACACAAGGAAGUCAUCUCAACUCUCAGAUGUUUACAGUUUCGGCGUCGUACUGCUCGAACUCCUCACCGGAAAGUCUCCCAUUCACACUACCGCAGGUAAAGACCAUGAUACUAUUAUAUACAUGUUCGGUUAAGGAUGAUUUCGGUUUAAUGAUGGACAUUUGCAGGAGAUGAGAUUAUACAUUUGGUUCGGUGGGUACAUUCGGUAGUGAGAGAGGAGUGGACUGCAGAGGUGUUCGACGUGGAGCUUCUAAGGUAUACGAACAUAGAGGAAGAGAUGGUUGAGAUGUUGCAGAUUGCAAUGUCGUGUGUUGUCAAAGCACCGGACCAGAGACCUAAGAUGUCUGAUUUGGUUAGGCUUAUUGAGAGUGUCGGAAACCGACAAGCCAGUCUUGGGCCUGAGCCUAAGCCCAAGUCCGAAAACGAAGCCUCCGAGACUUCCACGCCGGGUGAAAUUUGAAUCUAUGCAAAUUGAAAUCGUUGAUUUUUAACUUCAUUAAGUUUGUAUACUCAUGUUGAUUCUCUUCUCCGGUUAGAACCGGUUAUCAAACACAUUUCUAUUUAGGGGGGACUCUGGUGUUUUCAUGCAAAAUAGAUUUGAAUUUUCAAAUUGAAGAAAAAUGAAUCUUGUAUGUUUUCAUCAAGCACCUUGGUUAUUGCAAACAAAAUUAAAGAACACAUUCUAUUAGACAAGGGUGAGGAGCUGGAAGAGAGUGGGCUUAGGAUCUGAGUUCAUACCCGACGAAGAUGUGAGAGGAAUGAAGCCGAAGUGAUCAUCCCCCGAUCAUCUCGUUUGAUUUAUCGCCAAAGCCUCUAAAUUGUAGUAUAUGACAUACUGGGCUUUAGAGCCCAAAAUAGUCCCAUUGGGUCUACGUGGCUAUAGCCUGCGGGUGCAGAUUGUGUGAGUAAGAAAUAUUGGGUUUAUUGGCACAAUUUAUUUUAGAGUCCUAGACUGUUAUUUCCUAUUGGUAACGAAUUUUGCUUUAGACAUUAACUUUAAAAUUUGAAAAAUUUGCCAAAACACCACCAAAAAACAACUACAUUGUCCAUUUACCAUAAAUCUUUUUUUUGGUCGGAUUUAGACUUAGAUACCUCUGGCCAACUUCAAAAUUCAUAUCAAUUAUUUUAAAACUCAGAAAAAUAUGAAAAAUUAUUCAAAAUUUACAUAAACAUGAAACAAUCAUAUGAAAAAUUAUUUGGUUGACUAAAUAUUAGUGAAACACAAUUUCAUAUUUUGAUAUACAUAUAGCAGAAAACAAAAUCUACUAACUACAGACAUGUAGAUCGUAGUUUCGGUUAACUACAUAGAUAUCUGGCGCUUAUAUAUUUUAAAAUCUACGAUUUGGUAAUCUGUCUACUACCGCAGAAAGAAAAGAUUACGGUUUUGCUUACGAUCUGAACGACGAAAGAUUUCAUGAACUACUAUUUCCUAUAUAUCUACUGGCUCGGAAUCACAGAAUCUGCCAGUUACUAAUAAUCUAUCGUGGUAAUAUUUCGUUAUCUACUAAGAUACUAUAUCCUAUCUCUGCCGGAUUAUACAUUCUACCGUCGUAUCUACCAUCAUAUAUACAAUCUCCUGGCAGCAGAAUGCAUGUUCUGCCAAAUUCGUAAUCUUUUGGAAAAUAUUCCUUAAAUCUCUCCAAAAUCUGUUGAAAAAUAUUAUGUAAAUCUUUAUUUUCUCAAAUUUUACGUGUUUCCUAAAGUUAUUUUUUUUUUUAAAUAAUUGUGAUCUCUCUUCCUCUUCACAAUUUCUUGAUUAAUUUUGAAACCACCCCAAAAAUUUGAAUCCCUUGUUGCUUAUGUGAUGUCUGGUGGUGGCAUAACCUUCAAGAAAUUCAAGCCAACGAUUAGGAGCAAGCGUUGCUUUCUCCUGUUCCCUGUUCAAGGCUCUGAGAGAAAGGGGCUCGUUAGCGUUGAAGUCAAGAAGAAGAAAGGCCAGGUAACAGAUAUAGAUAGGUCUUUUAUCUCUAGCCUAGGAAUGAGUGUAGCAGAUUGGAGCUGUUGUGAGUUGAUUAGAGAGUGGUUAGCAAUGGCAUUAGCAGAUUCAUUGAUCUUCUUGUUUGUUUCUUCAGUAUGACAUGAAGCUUUUGGCGGUGGACAUCCCCAUGGCGUCUGGUCCUGACCAACGGUUGUAUCUGAUUGGAGAUGAAGAAGGGUACAAAGUCGGUGGCGGUUUGAUCUCUGAGCUAAGAGACCCUGUUGUGAAAGCCAUGGCAGCGACUAAGGAGUUCGAUAAUCUUGACAGAAUUGAAGAGGAAGAAGAUGCUGAAAGAGAGCUUCAAGAAGCUGAAAGAAAGCACCGUGAGGAGAUUGAGAAGCUCGAAAAAGAGAGCUCUUAAAAUUCGUUUUUAUUUCCCUGGACUACUUGAACAACAACAGCUUGUAUCACCAAAGACUCUCUUUUGUCUUGUAUCAGAGUAUGCUACACUGAUCUGUGAUCUACAUUGAUGUAGAAUGAGUAGCAAUGGACUACUACUCUCUGAACCAUUUGCUGAGCUAUAAAUCAACAAUCAAUUCAUUGCAUAUCAAAACACCGUCGCAAACGCAGAUCCAAUCCAAGACAAACGCGCAUUACUCGAGUUCCUAACCCUCAUGCGUCCCACGCGCUCACUCAACUGGAACGAGACCACUUCCGUCUGCAACGCAUGGACCGGAGUCACUUGCAACAAAGACGGAUCUCGCAUCACAGCCGUUAGAUUGCCUGGAGUUGGACUCAACGGUCAGAUCCCUCCCAACACUCUAAGCAGACUCUCUUCUCUUACUGUCCUCAGCCUCAGAUCCAAUAGAAUCUCAGGCCUAUUCCCUGGAGACUUCGCCGAGCUGAAAGACUUGGCCUUCCUUUACCUUCAGGACAACGACUUCUCCGGUCCGUUGCCUCAGGAUUUCUCUGUCUGGAAGAAUCUCACCAGCGUCAAUCUCUCUAACAAUGACUUCAACGGAACGGUUCCUGGUUCUUUGUCGAGGCUUGGGCGUGUGCAGUCGUUGAAUCUCGCUAAUAAUUCGCUUUCUGGCGACAUUCCUGAUCUAAGCGGUGUGUCUACUCUGCAGCAUAUUGAUUUGUCUUACAACAAUCUCAAUGGGCCUAUACCGAGUUGGCUUCAGAGGUUCCCUACGUCGUCUUAUCAAGGCGUUGGCGGAUUCUCUCUCGUGCAGCCACCUCCCGACUUGGCUCAUCACGAGCUUAAACCUCGUCAGAAACCUAAACCUCACUUCUUGGGACUAACCAAGACUGUUUUCUUGCUGAUAGUCAUCGCUGUCUCCAUUGUGCUACUAGCGGUUUUAGUCUUUGUGUUAGCUGUUUGUUACUUGAGG